AGUCCUACGGGACGCAGCCGUGGGGCCUCUUGCCCCCUUUUCUCCCUCCUGAUGCAGCAACGCCGCGUGAAGGAAGACGGUUUUCGGAUUGUAAACUUCUAUCAAUAGGGAAGAAAGAAAUGACGGUACCUAAAUAAGAAGCCCCGGCUAACUACGUGCCAGCAGCCGCGGUAAUACGUAGGGGGCAAGCGUUAUCCGGAAUUACUGGGUGUAAAGGGAGAGUAGGUGGCAAGGUAAGCGAUAUGUGAAAGCCUUAAGCUUAACUUAAGGAUUGCAUAACGAACUAUCUAGCUAGAGUACAGGAG
rnacentral:rRNA from 1 species